rnacentral:rRNA from 1 species
AUUGAACGCUGGCGGCAUGCCUUACACAUGCAAGUCGAACGGCAGCACGGGGCAACCUGGUGGCGAGUGGCGAACGGGUGAGUAAUGUAUCGGAACGUACCUUUCAGUGGGGGAUAACGUAGCGAAAGUUACGCUAAUACCGCAUAUUCUGUGAGCAGGAAAGCAGGGGAUCGCAAGACCUUGCGCUGAUUGAGCGGCCGAUAUCAGAUUAGCUAGUUGGUGAGGUAAAGGCUCACCAAGGCGACGAUCUGUAGCGGGUCUGAGAGGAUGAUCCGCCACACUGGAACUGAGACACGGGUCCAGACUCCUACGGGAGGCAGCAGUGGGGAAUUUUGGACAAUGGGGGCAACCCUGAUCCAGCCAUGCCGCGUGAGUGAAGAAGGCCU